rnacentral:tRNA from 1 species
GGCCCCGUAGCUCAGCUGGAUAGAGCGUCCCCCUCCUAAGGGGAAGGCCAGUGGUUCGAAUCCACUCGGGGUCACCA